rfam:Asian citrus Psyllid, Diaphorina citri - Florida Strain, whole genome shotgun sequence.
GCCUAGUUAGCUUAGUUGGUAGUGCGUCUGCCUUGUAAGCGCUAGGCCGCGGGUUCGAUUCCCGCCCGGGGCU